rnacentral:tRNA from 1 species
CAGAAAGUAGUUUAGUUGAAAAU